rnacentral:rRNA from 1 species
AUUGAACGCUGGCGGCAGGCUUAACACAUGCAAGUCGAGCGAGCGGCGGACGGGUGAGUAAUGUCUGGGAAACUGCCUGAUGGAGGGGGAUAACUACUGGAAACGGUAGCUAAUACCGCAUACCAUCAGAUGUGUCCAGAUGGGAUUAGCGAGUAGGUGGGGUAACGGCUCACCUAGGCGACGAUCCCUAGCUGGUCUGCGAGGGUGACCAGCCACACGGGAACUGAGACACGGUCCAGACGCCUACGGGAGGCAGGAGUGGGGAAUAUUGCACAAUGGGCGAAAGCCUGAUGGAGCAAGGCCGCGUGUGUGAAGAAGGCCUUCGGGUUGUAAAGCACGUUCAGCGGGGAGGCGUUACCCGCAGAAGAAGCACCGGCUAACUCCGUGCCAGCCGCCGCGGUAAUUC